GUGCUGUCUUUAGUGUCCAAGCUGCCAAAAAGUGUGUCACUGAGUUACUCAGUCACUUGGGGUCUUGGAGAACCAAACAAGAAGCCGAACCGGCAAUGCCGGAGCGCUAGCGUCGCGACGAACAACAUUCUUUGCCGACUUUCUGCCUCACACACAUCUACACGUGCAUAUAAGCACGAGUAGACUAUAAGAGCUCUGUGUGCAUCAUCCCGGAGCCGAAUACGUCAUUGCCGCUCCUUUCCAGAUUCUAGGCCGGACUCUCGCAAUGACAUUAGACCUUAUAUUUAUUCUCCCGAUCAUAUUAUAUAGUAGAAGUGCCUUUGGACUCCAUACAGUGAUUUGCAUGUCAAUCGAGUGUUUUAGCUCGUUGGCUGAGAUGGCGUUCAGGAUGGCUGAGAUGGCUUCUACGUUUGCAUAACGCUUUCCUUUCGUCGGCAAACCCAUUUUUCCGAAAAGGUAAAAGAGUGCAAAGAAUGCAUUCUGGCUGUACUUAUCAAGAAUAUGUAUAUACAUAAAGACUCUCACACGUCUUCCUUGGUGUAACACACACUCGCACCUAACUAU